ACUUCGGUGGCUUAGUGGUUAGAGCGUCUGCCUCAGAUGCGGGAGGUAGCGGGUUCCAACCCCGGCCGAAUCA